rnacentral:rRNA from 1 species
AUGGCGCAGGCCGCUUUUGCACACUUCUCUUAUGUGCUUGGCGUGCCCGAGGAGCGCAGCGCCACCCUCAACCUGGCGGCCAUUGGUCAUCGCUCCUUCGACCUCUCCGCCAUGGAACAACUCUUCUCCUCCGACGAAAUCUGGGAGGCAGUUAAGCGCCUUCCCUCCGGCAAGGCGCCUGGUCCGGACGGAUUCACGGCUGAGUUCUUGCGUGCUUGCUGGCCGAUCAUUCAGGACGAGUUUUGUGCGGUCUUCGACAAGCUAUGCGCCCUUAAUGGCCAGCCAUUCCAGCGGCUCAAUGAAGCUCUGAUACGUCUCCAACGUAUCUAUAAUUUUUGA